AGUAGUCCAUACAGUAAACGAUGAAUAUUAAAUGUUGGGAAUAAAUCUCAGUAUUAUAGCUAACGCGUUAAAUAUUCCGCCUGGGGAGUACAACCGCAAGGUUGAAACUUAAAGGAAUUGACGGGGAUCUAAACAAGCGGUGGAACAUGUGGUUUAAUCCGAUACUACGCGUAAAUCUUACCAGUUUUUGUAUAAUAUACAGGUGUUGCAUGGCUGUCGUCAGUUCGUGUUGUGAAACGUUUGGUUCAGUCCUUUUAACGAACGCAACCCCUAUUUUUUGUUACUAAGUCAAAUUUUAAAAUAAUUUGUCAAGAACUCAAAAAAAUUGCUUAUGAUAUAUAAGAUGAAAGUGGGGAUGACGUCAAGUCGUCAUGGCCCUUAUAAACUGGGCUACACACGUGUUACAAUAGUUACUACAAUAAGAAGCAACAACGUGAGUUAGGGCAAAGCUUGAAAAGUAAUUUAAGUUCGAAUUGUUCUCUGUAACUCGAGAACAUGAAGUUGAAAUCGCUAGUAAUCACAAAUUAGUACAUUGUGGUGAAUACGUUCUUAGAUCUUGUACACACCGCCCGUCACANCCCUGGAAAUUGGUUUUAUUUUAAGUAUUUUUAAAGAACCAAGUGAAGGCCUUUGGGCAAAGCUAGGACUUUUAAUACCAAAAUAGAAUUAGUGACUGUGGUGAAGUCGUAANCAAGGUACC
rnacentral:rRNA from 1 species